rnacentral:rRNA from 1 species
GAUGAACGCUGGCGGCGUGCUUAACACAUGCAAGUCGAACGAUGAAGCCCAGCUUGCUGGGUGGAUUAGUGGCGAACGGGUGAGUAACACGUGAGUAACCUGCCCUUGACUCUGGGAUAAGCCUGGGAAACUGGGUCUAAUACUGGAUAUGACUUCUCAUCGCAUGGUGGGGGGUGGAAAGAUUUAUUGGUCUUGGAUGGACUCGCGGCCUAUCAGCUUGUUGGUGAGGUAGUGGCUCACCAAGGCGACGACGGGUAGCCGGCCUGAGAGGGUGACCGGCCACACUGGGACUGAGACACGGCCCAGACUCCUACGGAAGGCAGCAGUGGGGAAUAUUGCACAAUGGGCGCAAGCCUGAUGCAGCGACGCCGCGUGAGGGAUGACGGCCUUCGGGUUGUAAACCUCUUUCAGUAGGGAAGAAGCGAGAGUGACGGUACCUGCAGAAGAAGCGCCGGCUAACUACGUG